CCUACGGGGGGCAGCAGUGGGGAAUAUUGGACAAUGGGGGCAACCCUGAUCCAGCCAUGCCGCGUGUGUGAAGAAGGCCCUCGGGGUGUAAAGCACUUUCAGUGAGGAAGAACGCCUGGUGGUUAAUACCCAUCAGGAAAGACAUCACUCACAGAAGAAGCACCGGCUAACUCCGUGCCAGCAGCCGCGGUAAUACGGAGGGUGCGAGCGUUAAUCGGAAUUACUGGGCGUAAAGCGCGCGUAGGUGGCUUGAUAAGCCGGUUGUGAAAGCCCCGGGCUCAACCUGGGAACGGCAUCCGGAACUGUCCAGCUAGAGUGCAGGAGAGGAAGGUAGAAUUCCCGGUGUAGCGGUGAAAUGCGUAGAGAUCGGGAGGAAUACCAGUGGCGAAGGCGGCCUUCUGGACUGACACUGACACUGAGGUGCGAAAGCGUGGGUAGCAAACAGGAUUAGAUACCCUUGUAGUC
rnacentral:rRNA from 1 species